AUGAACGCUGGCGGCGUGCCUAAUACAUGCAAGUCGAGCGAACGGACGAGAAGCUUGCUUCUCUGAUGUUAGCGGCGGACGGGUGAGUAACACGUGGAUAACCUACCUAUAAGACUGGGAUAACUUCGGGAAACCGGAGCUAAUACCGGAUGAUAUUUUGAACCGCAUGGUUCAAAAGUGAAAGACGGUCUUGCUGUCACUUAUAGAUGGAUCCGCGCUGCAUUAGCUAGUUGGUAAGGUAACGGCUUACCAAGGCAACGAUGCAUAGUCGACCUGAGAGGGUGAUCGGCCACACUGGAACUGAGACACGGUCCAGACUCCUACGGGAGGCAGCAGUAGGGAAUCUUCCGCAAUGGGCGAAAGCCUGACGGAGCAACGCCGCGUGAGUGAUGAAGGUCUUCGGAUCGUAAAACUCUGUUAUUAGGGAAGAACAUAUGUGUAAGUAACUGUGCACAUCUUGACGGUACCUAAUCAGAAAGCCACGGCUAACUACGUG
rnacentral:rRNA from 1 species